CACUUUUCCUGCCCUCGAGGAGCUCACAGUCUAGUACGUCUCAUCCCCUACUAGACUGAAGCUCCUUGAGGACAGGGAUCGUCAUACUCACCU
ensembl:miRNA